rnacentral:lncRNA from 1 species
ACAAAGAAAGAAAACAUUUAUUGCAUCUUUAAGAAUAAUCUAGUAAAACUCUUGAUACUCACAGUGCAACCAGUCACAGGCUACUGUAAACCUAUAGAAGCUCUCCACCUCUUCCAGAGAAAUCCUCACAUAUCCUCCUCCUUCCACAAUGGGCUGCAGACACACCUCACACUGCUCCUCCAGCAUCUCUGAUUCUUACAUUUACCUGCUCAAAGCUUUCCUAUUGCUCACAUAUUCACUACCUGUCUCUCUCUCUCUCUCAUUACCUCUGUUUCUUUUUCUCUCACUACCUCACUUUUUUCUCUCCUGUUCUCUUGCUCACUCUCUCUCUCUCUCUCUUCUUAGCUUCUUCCCUAUCCACGCUUUUUCUGUCAAACAGUCUCACACACACACAGACACACAAACACGCCCACCUCUGCAGCAAAGGUGUGAACAGCAUAGCCAGCAGCACUGCACUUGGAUUCUCGGCUCCGCCCCUUCAGAGCUCAGACAUUAUUUUUUUGUGUGGGUUAUGUGGACAUAGAGUCAUUCCUGCCUGCCCACUCCUCCACCGGACUAAAACAGCCUGAAACAGCACUUUCUCACAAAACACAUACUAAAUGCUCAUUUACAGUUUCAGAAUACCAAAGAUAAAAAAAAGACAGAACAGAAUUUGGACACCCUGGUCAGUAGCACCUUCAUUGGCAAAUAUUACAGUUUGUAACAAAUAUACUCAUUCUCACUAUUUCUCUUGCAUUCUUAGAUCAUUUUUCAUGCACUGUUCUUUUGAAGUCUAUCCAAGUUAUCAUGAUGUCAUUGUAUAAGACUUUGUCUUUAAGGAGUGCAAUUUGCAUCACCUGACCAUUUACAAUCAUUACCGUAUGUCAUGAGUUUUUUUGGCAUU